AGAGUUUGAUCCUGGCUCAGGACGAACGCUGGCGGCGUGCUUAACACAUGCAAGUCGAACGGUGAAACCCUUCGGGGUGGAUCAGUGGCGAACGGGUGAGUAACACGUGAGCAACCUACCCCUGACUCUGGGAUAACUCCGGGAAACCGGUGCUAAUACCGGAUACGAGCAGCGGCCUCAUGGUCUGUUGUUGGAAAGAAUUUUGGUUGGGGAUGGGCUCGCGGCCUAUCAGCUUGUUGGUGAGGUAAUGGCUCACCAAGGCGACGACGGGUAGCCGGCCUGAGAGGGCGACCGGCCACACUGGGACUGAGACACGGCCCAGACUCCUACGGGAGGCAGCAGUGGGGAAUAUUGCACAAUGGGCGAAAGCCUGAUGCAGCGACGCCGCGUGAGGGAUGACGGCCUUCGGGUUGUAAACCUCUUUCAGCUCCGAAGAAGCGAAAGUGGCGGUAGGAGCAGAAGAAGCACCGGCUAACUACGUGCCAGCAGCCGCGGUAAUACGUAGGGUGCAAGCGUUGUCCGGAAUUAUUGGGCGUAAAGAGCUCGUAGGUGGUUCGUCGCGUCUGCUGUGAAAGUCCGAGGCUUAACCUCGGAUCUGCAGUGGGUACGGGCGGACUAGAGUGCGGUAGAGGAGAUCGGAAUUCCUGGUGUAGCGGUGGAAUGCGCAGAUAUCAGGAGGAACACCGGUGGCGAAGGCGGAUCUCUGGGCCGUAACUGACGCUGAGGAGCGAAAGCAUGGGGAGCGAACAGGCUUAGAUACCCUGGUAGUCCAUGCCGUAAACGUUGGGCGCUAGGUGUGGGGUCCUAUCCACGGGUUCCGUGCCGCAGCUAACGCAUAAGCGCCCCGCC
rnacentral:rRNA from 1 species